rnacentral:rRNA from 1 species
AAUAGACGGGGACCCGCACAAGUGGUGGAGCAUUUGGUUUAAUUGGGAGAUACGCGAAGGAACCUUAUUAGCCUUGACAUUAUUUCAGAAAACUUUAGAGGAAAGAGUGGUGCCUUCGGGAGCUAAUAUACAGGUGCUGCACGGCUGUCGUCAGCUCGUGUCGUGAGAUGUUGGGUUAAGUCCCGCAACGAGCGCAACCCUCGUCACUAGUUACUAACGGUUCGGCCGAGGACUCUAGUGAGACUGCCUUCGCAAGGAGGAGGAAGGUGAGGACGACGUCAAGUCAUCAUGGCCCUUACGGCUAGGGCAACACACGUGCUACAAUGGCCAGGACAAUGAGAGGCAAUACCGCGAGGUGGAGCAAAUCUAUAAACCUGGUCUCAGUUCGGAUUGUUCUCUGCAACUCGAGAGCAUGAAGCUGGAAUCACUAGUAAUCGUAGAUCAGCUAUGCUACGGUGAAUACGUUCCCGGGUCUUGUACUCACCGCCCGUCACACCAUGGGAGUUGAUUUCACCCGAAGCGGGGAAGCUAAACUGG